rnacentral:tRNA from 1 species
UUAGAAAAGUAGGACUCGAACCUACACAAAGAGAUCAAAGCCCUCUAUACUUCCCUUAUAUUAUUUCCU